rnacentral:tRNA from 1 species
UCGGAUAUGGUGUAAUGGCUAACAUUACCGCCUCUCAUCUUCGUGCGCGGUAGCUCGGGGUUCGAUUCCCCGUAUCCGAA